rnacentral:rRNA from 1 species
UACGUAGGAGGCAAGCGUUGUCCGGAAUCACUGGGCGUAAAGCGCGUGUAGGUGGAGCAGGAAGUCUGCUGUGAAAGCGCCUGGCUUAACCGGGCGAGGUCGGUGGAAACUCCUGGUCUAGAGGCCGGUAGAGGGGGGUGGAAUUCCGGGUGUAGUGGUGAAAUGCGCAGAUAUCGGGAAGAACACCCGUGGCGAAGGCGGCACUCUGGGACGGUACUGACGCUGAGACGCGAAAGCGUGGGGAGCGAACAGG